rnacentral:rRNA from 1 species
AUACGGAGGGUGCAAGCGUUAAUCGGAAUUACUGGGCGUAAAGCGCGCGUAGGCGGUUUUGCAAGUCGGAUGUGAAAGCCCAGGGCUCAACCUUGGAAUUGCAUUCGAAACUGCUUGACUAGAGUAUGGUAGAGGGAAGUGGAAUUUCCGGUGUAGCGGUGAAAUGCGUAGAUAUCGGAAGGAACACCAGUGGCGAAGGCGGCUGUCUGGACCAGUUCUGACGCUGAGGUGCGAAAGCGUGGGGAGCAAACAGGAUUAGAAACCCGGGUAGUCC